GUCGAGCGAACAGACGAGGAGCUUGCUUCUCUGACGUUAGCGGCGGACGGGUGAGUAACACGUGGAUAACCUACCUAUAAGACUGGGAUAACUUCGGGAAACCGGAGCUAAUACCGGAUAAUAUAUUGAACCGCAUGGUUCAAUAGUGAAAGACGGUUUUGCUGUCACUUAUAGAUGGAUCCGCGCCGCAUUAGCUAGUUGGUAAGGUAACGGCUUACCAAGGCAACGAUGCGUAGCCGACCUGAGAGGGUGAUCGGCCACACUGGAACUGAGACACGGUCCAGACUCCUACGGGAGGCAGCAGUAGGGAAUCUUCCGCAAUGGGCGAAAGCCUGACGGAGCAACGCCGCGUGAGUGAUGAAGGUCUUCGGAUCGUAAAACUCUGUUAUUAGGGAAGAACAAAUGUGUAAGUAACUAUGCACGCCUUGACGGUACCUAAUCAGAAAGCCACGGCUAACUACGUGCCAGCAGCCGCGGUAAUACGUAGGUGGCAAGCGUUAUCCGGAAUUAUUGGGCGUAAAGCGCGCGUAGGCGGUUUUUUAAGUCUGAUGUGAAAGCCCACGGCUCAACCGUGGAGGGUCAUUGGAAACUGGAAAACUUGAGUGCAGAAGAGGAAAGUGGAAUUCCAUGUGUAGCGGUGAAAUGCGCAGAGAUAUGGAGGA
rnacentral:rRNA from 1 species